rnacentral:rRNA from 1 species
GUGCCUUAAGGGUGUUCGACGGAUGCCUUGGCGCUGAGAGGCGAUGAAGGACGUGCUACGCUGCGAUAAGCCAUGGGGAGCUGCGAGAGCUUGAUCUGUC